GGUCAGAGGUCGGAGGUAACUCAAGCGUCUAUCGUAGGGAUGGCGUAGUGGCCGGUGUUGGUCAACAUGGGGGGGUCAGAGGUCGGCAGUAACUCACGCGUCUAUCGUAGGGAUGGCGUAGUGGCCGGUGUUGGUCAACAUGGGGGGGUCAGAGGUCGGCAGUAACUCACGCGUCUAUCGUAGGGAUGGCGUAGUGGCCGGUGUUGGUCAACAUGGGGG